rnacentral:rRNA from 1 species
UACAGAGGGGGGCAAGCGUUGUUCGGAAUUACUGGGCGUAAAGGGCGCGUAGGCGGCCUGCUAAGUCGAACGUGAAAUCCCUGGGCUCAACCCAGGAACUGCGUCCGAUACUGGUUGGCUUGAAUCCGGGAGAGGGACGUGGAAUUCCAGGUGUAGCGGUGAAAUUCGUAGAUAUUCGCAAGAACACCAGUGGCGAAGGCGGCUCACUGGCCCGGUACUGACGCUGAGGUGCGAAAGCGUGGGGAGCAAACAGG